rnacentral:rRNA from 1 species
UAAGCCUGCGAAGGUGGCCUGUGAGGGUUGCUGGAGGUAUCAGAAGUGCGAAUGCUGACAUAAGUAACGAUAAAGCGGGUGAAAAGCCCGCUCGCCGGAAGACCAAGGGUUCCUGUCCAACGUUAAUCGGGGCAGGGUGAGUCGACCCCUAAGGCGAGGCCGAAAGGCGUAGUCGAUGGGAAACGGGUUAAUAUUCCCGUACUUGGUGUUACUGCGAAGGGGGGACGGAGAAGGCUAUGUUGGCCGGGCGACGGUUGUCCCGGUUUAAGCGUGUAGGUGUGUGUUCCAGGUAAAUCCGGUUCACUUUAACACUGAGGCGUGACGACGAGGCACUACGGUGCUGAAGUAACAAAUGCCCUGCUUCCAGGAAAAGCCUCUAAGCAUCAGGUAACAUCAAAUCGUACCCCAAACCGACACAGGUGGUCAGGUAGAGAAUACCAAGGCGCUUGAGAGAACUCGGGUGAAGGAACUAGGCAAAAUGGUGCCGUAACUUCGGGAGAAGGCACGCUGACACGUAGGUGAAGUGAUUUACUCAUGGAGCUGAAGUCAGUCGAAGAUACCAGCUGGCUGCAACUGUUUAUUAAAAACACAGCACUGUGCAAACACGAAAGUGGACGUAUACGGUGUGACGCCUGCCCGGUGCCGGAAGGUUAAUUGAUGGGGUCAGCGCAAGCGAAGCUCCUGAUCGAAGCCCCGGUAAACGGCGGCCGUAACUAUAACGGUCCUAAGGUAGCGAAAUUCCUUGUCGGGUAAGUUCCGACCUGCACGAAUGGCGUAAUGAUGGCCAGGCUGUCUCCACCCGAGACUCAGUGAAAUUGAACUCGCUGUGAAGAUGCAGUGUACCCGCGGCAAGACGGAAAGACCCCGUGAACCUUUACUAUAGCUUGACACUGAACAUUGAGCCUUGAUGUGUAGGAUAGGUGGGAGGCUUUGAAGUGUGGACGCCAGUCUGCAUGGAGCCGACCUUGAAAUACCACCCUUUAAUGUUUGAUGUUCUAACGUGGACCCGUAAUCCGGGUUGCGGACAGUGUCUGGUGGGUAGUUUGACUGGGGCGGUCUCCUCCUAAAGAGUAACGGAGGAGCACGAAGGUUGGCUAAUCCUGGUCGGACAUCAGGAGGUUAGUGCAAUGGCAUAAGCCAGCUUGACUGCGAGCGUGACGGCGCGAGCAGGUGCGAAAGCAGGUCAUAGUGAUCCGGUGGUUCUGAAUGGAAGGGCCAUCGCUCAACGGAUAAAAGGUACUCCGGGGAUAACAGGCUGAUACCGCCCAAGAGUUCAUAUCGACGGCGGUGUUUGGCACCUCGAUGUCGGCUCAUCACAUCCUGGGGCUGAAGUAGGUCCCAAGGGUAUGGCUGUUCGCCAUUUAAAGUGGUACGCGAGCUGGGUUUAGAACGUCGUGAGACAGUUCGGUCCCUAUCUGCCGUGGGCGCUGGAGAACUGAGGGGGGCUGCUCCUAGUACGAGAGGACCGGAGUGGACGCAUCACUGGUGUUCG